AAGCUCGUAGUUGAAUUUCGGGGUUAGUAGGUUGGUCAUGCCUCUGGUAUGUACUGGCCUCACUGAUUCCUCCUUCCUUAUGAACCGUAAUGCCAUUAAUUUGGUGUUGCGGGGAAUUUGGACUGUUACUUUGAAAAAAUUAGAGUGUUUAAAGCAAGCUAACGCUUGAAUACAUUAGCAUGGAAUAAUGAAAUAGGACGUUCGAUCUUAUUUUGUUGGUUUCUAGGAUUGACGUAAUGAUUAAUAGGGAUAGUUGGG
rnacentral:rRNA from 1 species